GAGCAUGAUGGGGAGAGAGACUAUGGGAGGGCACCUUUUUGGGCCUAGUCACGGGAUCAUGGGUUCUUGAAUUCGGACAGAUGAGGCAAGCAUGGUCUUUUGGGGGGUCAGAAAGGGACUCAUAAGAUAAUGCUAUUGCCACUAGGUUGUCUCAAUUUGGUAGAGGGGAAAAGGCAGGGAUGUGAUGAGUUUGGGAUCAUGCUAGCUUUUGCAAAAUUCAAAGCAGGAAACACGUACACCGCCGAAUUAUAUAUGUGUAAAGAUUGUGCAUGUAUGGGUUCUUAGUGCCUGGCUUAAAUUAUCCUUCUUUUAUUUUCUUUGGCCAACUUUGUGUAACUUUUGUAAUUUCUGGCUUGUCUUAUACGGAGUAUGAUUUUACGAAGAAAAUGCCCAAUCAAACGAAGAAAGAUUGUUAUGUUCUUUUUGUAACGGUGAGUUAUAGAUUGGCUCAAUCAGUGAGCAAGUGGGUUACAUAUAUUUUGGCGACAGUAAGCAAGUGGGUUACGUAGAAUGGCUCAUAUGCAUAACUGUCUUGUCCUUCCCCCUAGGCUAGUCCCAGUGCAAGGUUUCAUUGCAUUGUUUCCAAGGAUGCUAUAUCAUCCCAUGAGGUGUAUUCUCAUAAAUGAAAUAGGGAGUCCCAGUGUACAGUUUCAUUUCACGAUUUCAUAGGAUGCCCAUGACAUUUAGUUGUGAGGCAUGUGAUUGGAUAUGGUUAGAUAAAAUGAAACUCUAUAGCCCCCAAUGCAAGUUUCAAUAGGUUUCAUAGUCUUGGAAACAAUGUAUACACAGUUUCAUCGUGAUGAAACCCCCUCCCCCUCUCACUUUAUAACUAUCAUACCAUGUCAUCACAUAUGCUGAUGUGUCACUGUAUUUAAUGUGCAUGAAACCUCUAUGAAACUCCCAUUAGGAUCAGCCUUCGUACAGAAACCGGAAGGCCGAUGCCUAUUGUAGACUAGCAUUUUCAAAGUUUGACUAGCAUUUUCAAACCCUUUUAUGUCGUCGUGUCAAAUUCCUCCCCAGCCAUUUUCAGUUACGCACUCAUUUUUAAUCAAUU
rnacentral:lncRNA from 1 species